rnacentral:rRNA from 1 species
CCUACGGGGGGCAGCAGUAGGGAAUAUUGCUCAAUGGGGGAAACCCUGAAGCAGCAACGCCGCGUGGAGGAUGAAGGUUUUCGGAUUGUAAACUCCUUUUGUUAGAGAAGAUAAUGACGGUAUCUAACGAAUAAGCACCUGCUAACUCCGUGCAAGCAGCCGCGGUAAUACGGAGGGUGCAAGCGUUACUCGGAAUCACUGGGCGUAAGGAGCGCGUAGGCGGGAUAGCAAGUCAGAUGUGAAAUCCUAUGGCUUAACCAUAGAACUGCAUUUGAAACUGUUAUUCUAGAGUAUGGGAGAGGUAGGUGGAAUGCGUGGUGUAGGGGUAAAAUCCGUAGAGAUCAAGAGGAAUACUCAUUGCGAAGGCGACCUGCUAGAACAUAACUGACGCUGAUGCGCGAAAGCGUGGGGAGCAAACAGGAUUAGAUACCCUUGUAGUC